rnacentral:rRNA from 1 species
AUUGAACGCUGGCGGCAGGCCUAACACAUGCAAGUCGAGCGGAUGAAGGGAGCUUGCUCCUGGAUUCAGCGGCGGACGGGUGAGUAAUGCCUAGGAAUCUGCCUGGUCGUGGGGGAUAACGUCCGGAAACGGGCGCUAAUACCGCAUACGUCCUGAGGUAGAAAGGGGGGGAUCUUCGGACCUCACGCUAUCAGAUGAGCCUAGGUCGGAUUAGCUAGUUGGUGGGGUAAAGGCCUACCAAGGCGACGAUCCGUAACUGGUCUGAGAGGAUGAUCAAUCACACUGGAACUGAGACACGGUCCAGACUCCUACGGGAGGCAGCAGUGGGGAAUAUUGGACAAUGGGCGAAAGCCUGAUCCAGCCAUGCCGCGUGUGUGAAGAAGGUCUUCGGAUUGUAAAGCACUUUAAGUUGGGAGGAAGGGCAGUAAGUUAAUACCUUGCUGUUUUGACGUUACCAACAGAAUAAGCACCGGCUAACUUCGUG